ACCGUGACCGGAAGGCCACUCUGAACGAGCAGAAGUCAGCAGAGGCCAUAGCAGCCGAAAGGUGAAGGG
rnacentral:ncRNA from 1 species